GCCCAGGUAGCUCAGUUGGUUAGAGCGCAUUCUUGGUAAGAAUGAGGUCGGCGGUUCAAUUCCGCCCCUGGGCU
rfam:Candidatus Portnoybacteria bacterium RBG_13_40_8 RBG_13_scaffold_210, whole genome shotgun sequence.